UUAAAUUUUAAUUUUUAAUUUAAGUUCAAAUUAAAAUUUAAAAUUAUAUAUUUAAUUUUUAAAUUAUAACUCAUAUUUUAAUUAAAAAAGUUGAAAAAAUAAAUUUAAUCUGAAUAAAUAUUCAUUCCGUCCGGAUUCAAUUUUCAAUCUGGCCGAAUUGAAAAAAGAGGUGAUUGAGGAAUUCCCAUUCCACUCGGGAAUCAGAAUCGGAAUGGGACUCCCGCGUACCAAACACCCACAAACGGAUUUACCCAUUCCAAUUUCGAUUCCAAGGUGAAAAUGAAGCGAACCAAACACGCCCGUAAGGUUGAGAUGAUGGUGGUAGGUGGUGGUAGGUGAAAUAAUAUUUCAUCCAAAGGCUAUUAGUAAUCAAGGAAUAGAUCCAAGAACUAAAAACUUAGAAGCACCAACGGGUUGGUGCUUAUAAAAAUUCUAGCUCAAUUCUAUAUAUUUAUUUAUAAAAAAAAUUAUAAUUUUGAGUCAAAUUGGCGAGUCAAUUAUGAUUAUUUCUGAUAAGAUUAGAUUUAAAGAUAUUUUAAAUUCUGUUAUUUUC
rnacentral:lncRNA from 1 species